AACGAACGCUGGCGGCGUGCCUAACACAUGCAAGUCGAGCGUGAAAGUUUCUUCGGAAAUGAGUAAAGCGGCAGACGGGUGAGUAAUACAUAGGUAAUCUACCUUCGAGCUUGGGAUAACCCCGCGAAAGUGGGGCUAAUACCGGAUAAGACCACGUGGCAUACGUUACGCGGUAGAAGGUGGCUUGUAUUUAUACUGGCUAUCACUUGAGGAUGAGCCUAUGGCCUAUCAGCUUGUUGGCGGGGUAAGAGCCCACCAAGGCUAUGACGGGUAGUUGGUCUGAGAGGACGACCAACCACACUGGGACUGAGACACGGCCCAGACUCCUACGGGAGGCAGCAGUGGGGAAUAUUGGGCAAUGGGCGCAAGCCUGACCCAGCGACGCCGCGUGGGUGAUGAAGGCCUUCGGGUUGUAAAGCCCCGUCAUGCGGAAAGAACAGUCUUACGGUUAAUACCCGUGAGAUUUGACGGUACCGCAGGAGGAAGCACCGGCUAACUCCGUGCCAGCAGCCGCCAUAACAC
rnacentral:rRNA from 1 species